rnacentral:misc_RNA from 1 species
CAGGGCCCCUAUUUAAUGGGGCUCGGCUCCUCUUGAAAUGCAUUAGUGGAACUUCUGAUUGUGGACCUGCUCCAGCGUGAUAAUUAUCUACGUUGCGGCGGCGAAGCGGUAUAGAUCUGCUUACAACCGUUGCAUGUAUGCGCAACAAACUCAUAUGACAAUUUGACCUCAAAUCAGGUAGGAUUACCCGCUGAACUUAA